CCUACGGGUGGCAGCAGUGAGGAAUAUUGGUCAAUGGACGAGAGUCUGAACCAGCCAAGUAGCGUGAAGGAUGACUGCCCUAUGGGUUGUAAACUUCUUUUAUACAGGAAUAAAACGAGGCACGUGUGCCUUUUUGCAUGUACUUUAUGAAUAAGGAUCGGCUAACUCCGUGCCAGCAGCCGCGGUAAUACGGAGGAUCCGAGCGUUAUCCGGAUUUAUUGGGUUUAAAGGGAGCGUAGAUGGGUUGUUAAGUCAGUUGUGAAAGGUUGCGGCUCAACCGUAAAAUUGCAAUUGGUACUGGCAGUCUUGAGUACAGUUGAGGUAGGCGGAAUUCGUGGUGUAGCGGUGAAAUGCUUAGAUAUCACGAAGAACCCCGAUUGCGAAGGCAGCUUACUAAACUGUGACUGACAUUGAUGCUCGAAAGUGUGGGUAUCAAACAGGAUUAGAUACCCCAGUAGUC
rnacentral:rRNA from 1 species